UUUAUCCUCUAUACCCACCCGCAGAAGACAAUCCUAUAGACUUGUCACUUGCUCCAGAAGACCUUUAAUGUCUAGUGUUCCAGACAUUCUCAUUGUCCCUUGAGACCUCACACACUUUGUGAAGAUGGAGGGAAAGAUUGCUAGGAGAGAGCUACGAAAACUUAAAAUGGACAUGAUUAUGGGCACAUCAUGGAACAUUUUAGGGCAGUUGUUGGUUUUCCUCUUGGUGAUACAUCAAUGAAGUGGCCAACUUGCAUCAUAUAAUAACAUUUUAGGGGAAGAUGUAGGUAUAUGUUUUCUUAAUGAAUAAUGUAAUCAUAUGUAUGAAUAUGAAAUAAAGGUUGUUAUUUAGUAUGUGAUAAUCAUGUAUAGGGAGAAAACAACUUCUAUUGACUUGUUUUAUCUUUCCAUGGAUUGAUUAUUUGUAUGACAUUAAAUUUUAUUCAAUGGAUUGUAUUUUUUUUUAUAA